rnacentral:lncRNA from 1 species
CCAAAGUUCAGCUCGCUACCUGUGGCUGUGCAGACAAUGUCCAGGUUUCUAACAUUGUUAUUCUAACAGUUUUAUCCUUUACUGUGUGUGAAUUCAAGAACUGGUCGAGGGCAUGAACUUUACCCAAAAACCUGGUUACCUCUGCCAGGAGUCUAAAACAUGGCCAGAAGUGGAUCUUCCAGCAAAACAAUAACCCCAAGCACUCGUCAAAAUCCACAAAGAAAUGGUUAGUUGGCCACAAAAGUAACAUUUUGCAAUGGCCAUCUCAGUCUCCAGACUUGAAAACCUGUGGUUUGAAUUGAAGAGGGCAGUCCAUAAGCACAGACAAAUGAUAUUAAGGAUCUGGAAGGAUUCUGUAUGGAGGAAUGGUCUAAGAUCCCUCCCAUUGUGUUCUCCAUCCUGCUGUCAUCCUUGCAAGGUGAGGUAUUGAGAACGGGGGUGUCAAUAAUUUUGACCCCUACCUUUUUGAGAGAAAAAUAGAAAAAGUCUCUCUGAGCAAUUGUAUUAGUAUAAAAUAAUAUAUUUUCCCAAUUUUUUUGCGCAUACAAUAUAGCUCAGUAUUUUAAUUAUUUAUUUUAUUCAGUCAUUUUUGCCCAUCUUUAUCACCCUCUGUUCUGUUGUAUUGGAUUUGACCCAACCCUGUAGUAUUUCAUUUAGGCCAAAAAGUGAAUUUGUUUGCCAUGUUGUCUUGCAAUAUUACUAAACAGCCUUGUUGCAAACAGAAAGCAUGAUAUGGAGAGGAUUUUUUUAACACAGGCAUCUUUCUUUUCACUUUGUAUUAAAGUGUUUUGGUGGCAGCAUCAUGUUAUUUUUAUUUAACCUUUAUUUAACUGGGCAAGUCAGUUAAGAACAAAUUCUUAUUUUCAAUGACGGCUUAGGAACAGUGGGUUAACUGCCUUGUUCAGGGGCAGAACGACAGAUUGUUACCUUGUCAGCUCGGGGAUGCGUCCCUAUGGGUUAUGGGUAUGCCUUCUGCUCUUAGGGGUAAUGGAUAGCCAUGGUUGGGACCUAGUAGCCUAUAGGCAAGUUGACUUAUUUUGAAUGUUGUGGCUAUAGGCUUACUUCUGAU